UACGGGGGGGGGCAAGCGUUGUUCGGAAUUACUGGGCGUAAAGGGCCAGUAGGCGGCCAACUAAGUCCGACGUGAAAUCCCCAAGCUUAACUUGGGAACUGCGUCGGAUACUGGAUGGCUUGAAUUCGGGAGAGGGAUGCAGAAUUCCAGGUGUAGCGGUGAAAUGCGUAGAUAUCUGGAGGAAUACCGGUGGCGAAGGCGGCAUCCUGGACCGACAUUGACGCUGAACGGCGAAAGCUAGGGGAGCAAACGGG
rnacentral:rRNA from 1 species